rnacentral:rRNA from 1 species
UACGUAGGGUGCGAGCGUUGUCCGGAAUUAUUGGGCGUAAAGAGCUCGUUGGCGGUCUGUCGCGUCGGUCGUGAAAACUUGGGGCUUAACCCUGAGCUUGCGGUCGAUACGGGCAUGACUGGAGUUCGGCAGGGGAGACUGGAAUUCCUGGUGUAGCGGUGAAAUGCGCAGAUAUCAGGAGGAACACCGGUGGCGAAGGCGGGUCUCUGGGCCGAUACUGACGCUGAGGAGCGAAAGCGUGGGGAGCGAACAGG